rfam:Schistosoma curassoni strain Dakar, Senegal genome assembly, scaffold: SCTD_scaffold0001397
GCACUGCCGAAGAGUCCCACAACAGGAGGAAACGGCUGUCCAGUGC